rnacentral:lncRNA from 1 species
ACCUCAUAGAACUCAGUGUGACCCCAAGGCUCCACAUGACCCAUAUCCCUGUGAGCACCAUAACCCCGGAUGAGGCUGUGGACAGUGAUGGGUCUGUUCUGGGGUCGUUCAGUGGACGCUACAGGAUGGCUCUGGGGUCACUGUACAUCAGCUGCCUAUAACAUCUGCUGACCCCCGGCUUGCCCCCAUCUUGCUGGGCAAGCUGGGAGUCCAGGGGGCAGCGGGGGGCUAUGGAAGAGGUUCCAUGAUCAGAGCAGAUUCACCACCAGCUCUGUGUGUGGGAACAUCAACCCCACUGAGCUAUGGCUGUGUCCCUUAUCUGCCCCAUUUCAUAGCAGCCCCAGAGCCAUCCUAGAGCAGCCCAGAACAGCCCCAUCACUGCCCACGGCCCGUGGCCAGCAGCAGUUCCACCACCAGUGGUGUGUUGGGUAAAGGCAGCUCCUAGGUGUGGUUGUGCCCCAUAGCUGCCCCAAAGUGCCCCUUUGGGGUCCUCCCAUCCGUGUCCUUUGGCUGUCCCACAGCUUUGUAGGGCUUCCCCCAUCCCAGCAGGUCCCCCCAAGUGCCCGUGGGCUGUGUGAGAAACGCUCUCAUCACUGCUCUUCCAUCAGGCACAGCUCUCCCUGCAGCAGCAAAGCUCAUCUGUUAUUGCUAGGGUUCUCUGCACUCUCCCUCCUCGUGGUGAGGGACAAAACACGCAGCUGCUCACUGAGCUCCUCCUGCUCCUGUAGCUCUCCUCCCUUGGCAGUCCCUGCUCUCCUGUUCCCUCUUGGCUGGGGACUGCAGGCUCACAGUCUAGGCCACGCAUCCGCUCUGCUGUUUCUCCAGCUGCCUUGGAUUUCUUCUCCCACUGUCCCCAUUAAGGAGUUGAUUUCCUUCAGUCCAUCCCAGCUCCAUCCCUGGCUCAAGUCUCCCUCAUUGCCACGCAGCACCGCAGCACCCAAACUCCUGUCCCUUCCUCUGUCUCGGUGGGAUUGCUUUGCCACCAAACCUUGUGACAGGUGUUUCCCUGCAGAAGCAUUCAUGUCCUUCUUCUGGCCCUUUUGGACAGUUCCCAGCUCUCCAAACAGAGAAACGGCUGCAGCCCACCCCAUGUCGCCUUUGGGGCAGCUCUGGGGCAGCCCCACCCUGAGUAGUAGAUGCCUUUUCCCCACACACAGCUGGUUCUAUGGCCACAUGGGGUGAGGUCACGGGGUUGUGGGUGAUGUGGGGGUCCUGCGGGCUCACAGAGUUAUGGGAUUACAUAGGGUCAGAUGGCACUGCACAGAGUUAUGUGGUCAGAUGUGGUUAGAAGGGUUGGUAGGGUCAGGUUGGGUGAUAGGAAGUUACGGGUCUCAGA